AGUGUCUGAGCAUGCCUACCAUGUAGGGUCCUGCAGGCAAUAGAGCAUCUUCAGAUUCUAUGGACACCAUGACAGUUGGCAUGUCCAAUAGCCAGAUAGUUUCUGUCUCCAUGAGGUAAACCAAUACAAAUGCUCCUGUCAACAUGUCUCAUGGAUUUAAACACAGGUUAUUUUCAACUUAAGAAGAAGACUGUUGAUCUAAAUGGCUGAUUUUUCAAAUCAACACAAGCAAGUAACAGAAAAAGUAAAUUUCACUGCUCGAUAAAUAUAUGUAUUCCUUAGCUAUUUAAGGAGUUAUUGUGUACCCCUGUAAGUCAUCUAAAUCUCCCUACCCUAGAUCCCAUUUAUAAAAGGAGAUAAUAUCUCCCCACGUUGAGUGCUGUGAGGCAAUUACGAUUUGUGAAGUGCCUUGACAAUACUGGAUAAAAGCUCUAUAGUAAUUCAAAGCAUUAUUAUUACAAAAUCAAAAAAAAAAGUCUCUCAAAAGAACGUUUUCUCCACUUUUUGUUUGUUUAAGUAGGAGAACAAUUCUUCAAUGUUUGUGAAAGAUGGCAUAUUAACACAACUG